GUGCGAGGUAGCGUAAUCAUUUGUCUUUUAAAUAGAGACCUGUAUGAAUGGCAUAACGAGGGUUUAACUGUCUCCCUCCCCUAGUCAAUGAAAUUGAUCUGCCCGUGCAGAAGCGGACAUAAAUACAUAAGACGAGAAGACCCUAUGGAGCUUUAGACAAAAGAUCAAACAUGUAAAGAAACCAAAUCAACCAAAAGGAACACAAAGGCCACAAAACCCAACGUAAAAUGAUCCAAAUGUCUUCGGUUGGGGCGACCAUGGGGGAAAGAAAAACCCCCACGAGGAACUAGGGGCAAUCCAUUAAGCCAAGAGAUACACCUCUAAGCAACAGAAAAUCUGACCAAAAAUGACCCAGGACACUAAUCCUGAUCAACGAACCAAGUUACCCUAGGGAUAACAGCGCAAUCCUUUCCCAGAGUCCAUAUCGACGAAAGGGUUUACGACCUCGAUGUUGGAUCAGGACAUCCUAAUGGUGCAGCCGCUAUUAAGGGUUCGUUUGUUCAACGAUUAACA
rnacentral:rRNA from 1 species